rnacentral:rRNA from 1 species
GACGAACGCUGGCGGCGUGCUUAACACAUGCAAGUCGAGCGGUAAGGCCCUUUCGGGGGUACACGAGCGGCGAACGGGUGAGUAACACGUGGGUGACCUGCCUUUAGCUCUGGGAUAAGCCUGGGAAACCGGGUCUAAUACCGGAUAUGACUCCGCGGCGCAUGUUGUGGGGUGGAAAGCCUUGUGCGGUUGGAGAUGGGCCCGCGGCCUAUCAGCUUGUUGGUGGGGUGAUGGCCUACCAAGGCGACGACGGGUAGCCGGCCUGAGAGGGCGACCGGCCACACUGGGACUGAGACACGGCCCAGACUCCUACGGGAGGCAGCAGUGGGGAAUCUUGGACAAUGGGCGCAAGCCUGAUCCAGCCAUGCCGCGUGAGUGACGAAGGCCU